rfam:Allokutzneria albata strain DSM 44149 genome assembly, chromosome: I
GCCGGUCCUCGGUAGUGGUCUCCGGAAACAGCCGGGGACUUCGAUCGAAGACCGGC